rnacentral:misc_RNA from 1 species
AAAAAUAUUUGGUCUCGUGCCAAAUUUACACCUGUGUGCACCAUUGUCUGUAUUUGGUAGCUCGAGCGCGCUCCGGAAGCUCAACACUUCCAUUAGGGGCGCCUACCCUUGCGGGUCACAUCCCGCUUGGGUUGGGCUACCGCCUUUUUUUGAAAAACCUUUUUUGUUUUGUCUUUUUGUCUGAACGAAGAGUUGAUCUUAAUUGAUUAAUGAUUUGAAAA